rnacentral:rRNA from 1 species
GGAAUUUUGGACAAUGGGCGAAAGCCUGAUCCAGCCAUGCCGCGUGCGGGAAGAAGGCCUUCGGGUUGUAAACCGCUUUUGUCAGGGAAGAAAUCUCUCGAGCUAAUACCUUGGGAGGAUGACGGUACCUGAAGAAUAAGCACCGGCUAACUACGUGCCAGCAGCCGCGGUAAUACGUAGGGUGCAAGCGUUAAUCGGAAUUACUGGGCGUAAAGCGUGCGCAGGCGGUUAUGCAAGACAGAUGUGAAAUCCCCGGGCUUAACCUGGGAACUGCAUUUGUGACUGCAUAGCUGGAGUACGGUAGAGGGGGAUGGAAUUCCGCGUGUAGCAGUGAAAUGCGUAGAUAUGCGGAGGAACACCGAUGGCGAAGGCAGUCCCCUGGACCUGUACUGACGCUCAUGCACGAAAGCGUGGGGAGCAAACAGGAUUAGAUACCCUGGUAGUCCACGCCCUAAACGAUGUCAACUGGUUGUUGGGAAGGUUUCUUCUCAGUAACGUAGCUAACGCGUGAAGUUGACCGCCU